CACUGCUCGCAUUAUUACAACUCAAGUUGAGCCACGGACGUCCACAUUAAUUGAAUUCCUGAUUUACUGCCUCAAACCGAUGCAGAGAUGUUUUACUAGAUGAAACUGCUGUAAGCCGGCGUCGAAACUCGAAAGAGAUAAACAGAUGCUUAAAUAGGGCAAUAUUUACCCUGUGAAUGAAGAGAUUCCUGGGAAUUGGCUUUCUUUUCACUCCAUCCGGAAGCGGUACUGGCUGAUGGUUUCAGGGUGGCAGCUACUACACCGGGGACGUCGAGCGAGCCGGACGGUACAGCAGAGCGGUCUGCUGGUGCAGAAACAGCUAUUGGUACAGGAGAGAUGUAAGAUUCAGCAAUCAGACCAGAGAAGUCUAAUCCUUCGGGCGCCCGGAGAAUAGCCAAAGACAAGUAAAUGUCAAAGGCAGCACUGUACGAGGAAUUCGAAAAAUCAGAUACUAAAUGUCAAAGGCCUCCAUCCAACAGGCUUCACCAUUUCGGCGUGGAAAGUUGAAUAAUUGACCAAUCCGUAAGCAGCCAAAAAGAAAUUGGAGAUGAGAGGAGCAAUUGCAUUCAGCUCGGCGAUAAUGAUGCAGCCCAAAGCGAUUAUAAAUGUCAAGAUGUAGCCAUUAACUGGCUCGUUGUUUUUGCCGUAUCCACGACCAAAAGGACCCAAAUAAGGAUAGAGCUUAUCCUUACACAAAGCCUGGAACACUUUGGGUGCAGAGACGAGACUGGCCAGAGCAGAGCUGAGGGUAGCCGCAAAACAACCGGCGUAAAUCAAAGGACCGAAAGCCGAAACCAGUUCAAUAACCUGUUUUCAUUUCAAUCGUUAUAGAUUUUCAUUCAUUUUUUUAAAAUGCAUAUCUUAAAUAGUGUCGUAAUGAAGACCUUACCUGGAAACUGUUUUGGAGUCCCCAUUCGCAACCCUCGGUACAGUUGGUAAGCGUGCCGUUGUAGAGGUCUUCAAUGUUGCCGGUGGCCUGUCUCAUAACCGUCGCGCCGCAAAUAAUGGCGAAACCGACGUAAGUCACACUUGUAAUAGCGAUGGCCAACAUUGUUCCUUUAGGAAUAGCGUGUUGAGGAUCCUAAUGUUAAGACAAAAUUGAGCGACCGGAAUUUUUGAUGGAUGAGUAUUGUAAAUCGACUUUAAGAUCGCCAGAAAUGUUGGCUCCAGCUAAGAUGCCUGUCGCGGCCGGAAAGAAGACGGAGAAGACAGUAAAGAAACUAUGUUCUUUGCCUUCGCUGUAUUGGUAGUCGGGUGAAAAAUUUUCCACAAAUAACUCACCUUUCAAAGUUAAAAAAUUCAUUUAUUUACGUAAAAUGUAUUUAACUAAUGGAACUUACUGCUGUAACCAACAAAUCCUUUAGCCUUUUCCUCGUCGUCCAUUGGGCCCAUAAUACUACCGAUGACGAACGCUAUUUGAGCGAUAAUCAAGAUGGCCAACAGAACAAUUUGUGCCUGAACCAAAAAGAACAAGUUAAGAUAUUUUUUAAAAAACAAUCUGUUUUACAAUAUGCUAGUGGUUACCUUAGUUUCCCAUUCGAGACCGAUGACGACGAUUCCGGUCAAUAAGAUGAUGGUGAUUGUGCCAAUAAUACGGACGUCGUUGACACCGUUGUCGAUGAUUUUGAGAUCAAAGGUCUUUAGCAAAUCGUUAAGCGACUCACAAAAGCCGAUGGUGUACAUGGCUACCGCUACUGCAUUUGCCACGGCGAAAAUGACGCCGAUGGAAGCGCCAAAGUCCGGGCCAAGCGAGCGAGAUAUCAUGUAGUAAGUACCGCCGCCUUUGAUGUUGCCGUUGGUGCUGAUGGCACUCAUUGAUAGGCCAGUUAUGGUAGUGACGAUGCAUGCUAGCGCGAUAAUAAUGACACCUUCACCUGUGUUUGCCAAAGUGAUUAUUUACUCUAGAGGGAUAUUCAUGACCUGAAAAUGGUUAACUUACCUAUUCCGGCUUGUCCUACGACCCAAGAAAGGCGAAGGAAAAGCAUUACGCCCCAAAUCGUCAUCGGAAAACUCACCAUCGCACCAAGACUCCUUUGAUCCAACCAAAUUUGACGAAAGUGUCUGGGACAACCUCGGUUGCUUUCUCUCCUUGAGGCUAUUUGCCAACGAGAUUGAAUUACAAAAAGGAAGCAAAACAAACGGUUGCUAAACUAGUACAAGCAAAUAAAGGGCGUGCGUAAAUAAGAUGCCGCAAUUGGAGUGACCCCUGCAUCACGGUUCCUCUUCUGCGUUCAACGGAACGCCCGUGAAAGGGGAAAUGAUUCAUCAGAGAGGUAUGAAAAUCUGAUACUUAUUACUCCUAUAAAAGGUAUCGCAACUUGUUAUUACGUCGUAGCAAAUUGCGCUAUUGUGGUAAAAAUCGUGCUGACGGAAAACGAACUGUUGAUUUUUUUCUACUGAUAUCCUAUUUCCAUUUUUAAUGGACAGUGGCGAAAACUAGGAACCUGGCACACCCUCAAAACAACUGUCUGGUUCAUAAUUAGACGUGCCGACGUUUGAUGGCCAGACAAUAGGGAGAUGUUUCACACAUCAGUAUUUUCCUCAUCGAUUACGUGUUUCCAAUAAGUCAACAACUACGAGUGUUAUGAGAGUUCGAUCAAUGCUGGAUCGUGUCGAUUGAUGGGCAAAGACGAGUGAUGGGACAGUGGGUAAUUUAAAUUGAAUGCGCUUCCUCCGAAUACGCAAUUUUUAUACGAACGUCGUCUUUUCACACGAGUGUUUAAGUAACGCCAUUUCAUUCUGCGGACUUUGGCUGCAAAAAAAAAAAGGGGGGGCUCCCGCUUUCCUUUGAAUUAUGAUGAAAGAAAAUGGGAAUUCUUUUUGUUUUAAAGAUGGAAAUUGGAGAUCGCAAACAUUUUCUCUAGUGUGAAAUGAAAAAAAACUUUGGUUCGGGAAGCUCGGGUAGUCAUUACGCGUAAUAUCAAGUGACGACGACUUUUCUAAGAAAUUUAAGCUAGAUUCAUUUUACGACAUAAAACCUUGUAGGGAUGGGUGUGUUUCUUUUAGGUCAGCCUAGCGCAAUCUAUUCCUCUUUUUUUCCAUACCAGGUCAUAAGACUUGUGGGAAGGGCUGUUUUUUUUGUCAAGUUCAACAGCCGUUACAGCAAUAAUGGCAAUAGAGGAGGGAGAAAAACUCGGCGUUCUACAUGUUUCUAGACAACUCCCUUGGCUAAUUUUCUUACAGUACGUUGUCGACAAGUUUACUUUAAAUUUUGUUUUAUUUUGGCUUUACAAGUUCGCGUGUGGUCGUUGCUCUCUAUUUGGGGAAUAGUCACUGUCUGACGGAUUACUUGCAGUCGUGGCUUUUUUUUUUUCUUUUCACGGAAAACCAAUAAAGGCUCAAUGACCGCAAACUAUGCAGGAUUGCACGACUUCAUUAUUCAAAUUGUUCCGGUAUGCUAGUUAUGUGACAUCGUGUUUAAAAAAUGAAGUAAACAAAAUUACCUUUUCGUGAAUAGUUGCAUUGUGAAGUUCGUCCAGGGUCGGUCUAUGCCCGGCUUGAAUUGAAAGGAUAUUGCGGUAGUUGUCGAGCCGAGGCAACGCUUCACGGGUCAGUUGGUAGCGCAAGCUCUUGGUAGCGGCGUUUGUCCGUUGACCACUUUCGUUCAUCGUCAUGUAAGUACCUUCCGACAAAAGAGCGGUCGGAGAGGACGCCCGUUCCCCGUCAUUAGAAGCGGCCGAACCAGGACGUUCGCCCAUUUCAAUCGCCUCCGAGCUAUUGCCCUUCUGUAAAUAAUCGUUCAACCAGACCACACACGCAUUAGAUUCUACUUCAAUAUUUCAUGAUAAAAAGAGAACGUAUACGUAUGAAAGAAAAAACAAAAAAUGGUGGUUAGCAUAGGUGUUGCGUACUUCCGUUUCGUCGCCAUCUUCUUCGGAAUUUCCGCCUCCUGAGUCGACUCGGUUCACUUUGAAACGGUUGCGUUUGGAUAAUGCGUCAGUCAUGAUCUAAGAACCUGAAUAUACAUACAAGCAAACAACAACAAAAUAUACACAAUUCGAUAAUCAAUAUUUGCUGUAGGUACUAUCCCCGUGGAGACAGCGUGCACUUUCAUUUAACAUUUUACGAUGCAAUUUAUAGUUGCAAUGGAAUCGACAGAAAUGUCGAAUGAUAUUGCUCGUAUCAUCACAAAAUGAUAAAGAGUCAUGGCAAAGAGAACAAAUAUCCAACUUCAUUUAAAUUUUAAGAAUAAAAGACAAAAUGUCUGUUGUCUUUGUAAAAAGAGAAGAAUGACUGGCAAAGUUUGAACAACGCUCGAUCACCUCAAUCGCUUAAACUGAAUCAACACUGUUAAAUGCAACUGCUGCUUUCACUUUCAUAGUAAUUCAAAUUAAUCCUAGACAACUAAUCGCCGUAAAAUAUCUAAUGUUUCUGAAUAAUUGUUAUUUGAAAUUUACCAGCAGGGAUGGCAGAAAUCGAUUAGUUGAAAGUGUUUCAACAGAAGUACGAGAAAGACACGUGGGGCACUUGAAGGUAACGGCACAGCUACAAAUGGUGAGACCGGUAGCCGGUUAACGAAGAGGAACAGACACAAGCAUGCAGACCGACCGGCAGGCGAAGACUACAGACUGACGAAGCUCAAAGUGACAGAGCAUUGGCUGUUUAUAAAGCGAAAGGCCCCUCCAGCUCCAGCACUCUCUCACACUCGACGGAAACACCAGAUAGGAUGGUGCCAGCCCCCUCUUGCUUCUUUCCAAAAAGAUCCGGGGGCUUCUAUUUAGCCACCCUUUUGUGUAUCCAAAAAGAGGAGAGUAGGUCUCAGUUUUUUUUUUUUUUUUUGCUUUGUAAAGAAGUGAGGUGGUCGUGGGGUGGCUAAAUUCCUUUUUUUUUUGUGCUGGAGGCUGUCGAAUUUUUUAACAUAAAAACCAUUCUGAAAACAAGUAAACAACAGGCCAAUUUAAGCUAUGCUGCGAUGAAGAAAGCCACUGCCAAUCAUCUUGUCGAGAGAAUGAAAACGUUUGAUGUGCAACAAGAACAACUCGGGACAAUAAGCAGGCAUCAAUAAAAACGAGGAAAAGUCAAAACUGUGCUAAGCAAAAAUUAAAAUCUAAAUUCAUUCGACCUCUUUUAAUCCUGUUCAAAUAUGGAUGAAUCAUCCCUAUCUUGGCUGUCACAUUUCAGAAAGUUGGCGUUUCAUCACGGCAUAAGGAGCAGUAGGUACAUCUUUUUAUCCCGUGGGAUAGGCAAGAACGUGGUGCAAAUGUUUUCCUUCUCAUGUAGAGACUCCACGUUUGAAACUCGACUGUCUAUAAUUAGAAUUUCAUUUGAAAAAAACAAAAAAACUAUACUUUCCUAGACAUUAUAGAAUCAGACAUCUUUCAAAGCAGCCGCCCGGAAAACCUGAGAGUCACCUAGCGAACCAUUCUUGUACUUCAUUGACAAUAAACAAAAGAAAAGCGCCUAUUCUUAGUAGUAUGACAGAUCACGAAAUCAACCAUCUUAUGGAAUCGAAAACCAUCUAGAUGUUUCUUUUUUAGACUCCAUUGUUUAACGUGUUUCCCAGUGUAUUUUCCAGUCCAAGGUUACAUCGAACCCAGGGACGCAGAUCCCUUUAGUUGAUUGAUGAGAUUAACAGUUUUCCAUGUUCUUAUCCGCAGCCCUACAGUGUGUAAAAAUAGACAGUGGGAAAAAUCUGCUCAUCAUGCUGAUUGGCACAAUGCUGGCUUCAUGACUACACAGUGUUAAAAGACUCUUCCCUUAAGUAAAUUUGCAGCUGUGGACUUUCUUUAGAUGACUCUUGUAUCAUAAAUAUUUUCCUGCUUCUUGGAACGUGGAACAUAGGAUGUCUUGAUGCCAACCAAGUGUCAUUAAGAGUGUAAAAAGAUGUUUCAGGUUUUUGAAAAAUCAGUGAUAAUGUUUAAAAAAUUACUUUUUUAGUAUUCUUAAAUCAUGCUUAAAUUAGCAGAAAAAACCUAAAGCUGGAGGAUGAUACAUUUGUUUCUUGUUACUAGUUUUGUAAACAAAGGCUAAAUUGGUAAAAUGAAACAACACAUGACCUAUGGCUUUAGAUCUAUUGUUUUCACAAAUGGAAAUUGAUUCCAAAUCUUUAUCUACCCGGUCAGACACCCACCCAAAAACCAUGGGGUGAUAGAUGAUAUAAAAAAUGUAUUAAUUCAAAAAUUUAUAUUUUAAGUUAUUGUUUGCAGAGUCAGGGAAAAAAUGUGUGGAAUCUGAAAUUCUAGCCCUCAAAACCCCAGCUGCCAUUCUGCUUCAACAAGGCUAUAAAGCAAUUAUUAUUUAAAGUGGUAGAGACUGUCAGCAAAAACAAAGCACAGACAUUUUUGUAGUUGGCUUUUCUGCUUAAUGUUAUUGUUAAACUUAACUUUUGGAAACAUAGAAGUGUAAUCAAAUGUUCAGGAUCAAAUUGAUGAAAUGGUUGAGCCAAAAAUGAACUUUAUAUUACUUUUGAACAGAUCUUAACUCAGUGUACGCGGCUGAUGCCCCACUAAACGUCACAUCAAUCUUUACCUGCGGUCUUCCAGUGUUGGUAAUUUGUUAUGGCAUGCAAUUAUUCAACAAGGAGUUAGGUGGAACGGAGGAGUGUAAAGAUGUUUGCGAAGAUGGGCAAUUCGAUAUCCAAGUACAAACGGAGUGCCCAUUGUUUAAAGGCUUAGAGACCCGGCAAAUGGUAUUGCUGACCAAUGUUGACAGCUUUGACAAGGUUGCAGAAGGAUUAUCUUGCGUCUCAAAAUCUUCGCGUCAUUAUUUCCGCCAUUGCUGAUACUGAACACCAUCUUGACGGAGUCCAUCAGUUCCCUCCUGAAGUUGAUUUGACUAAAAAUGGUAUGUUGGUUUCCUUUCCAUUGAUUGCAAACAUUGAUCUUAGCAGUAUAUCGAUUACGUCCGGCGUACGGUCGGAUGUAAUAAGAUCGUGCUCAUGCUGGUAAUCGCGUAGUCGAUUCCUUCGUUUGUGCUGCCCAUCUCCAUAAAGCACUUCUACAGGGUGCGACGGGUGGCCUGCACUCGCGCUGUUCCAGGAAUUUCCAGGGUUUUGUAUGACCAGAUGGCGAAAUCACUCGUGACAACGGAGUGGGAAGGAUUUGAUUUACGAACGUUACUUAGGCAAAUCAUAUCCGCACUCUUUAUAAGACAGGACAAAGAUACGGAGUUGUAUCAUUGACCAGAUUUAGAUAGGAAAUAUUAUGAAUAUUGGAUUCAGUAAUAGAUUAUGAAAUUGAAAAAAUCGAUCAACUUUGCCGUCUCGUUAAAGAGUAGUUCACGUGAUGACUUAUUGACUAUUCCUUAAAUAUACAUGCACACUUGUUGGAAAUAAUGGUUUCAGUUGUUUUUCGUCGAACAAAUUAAACGUUGUUAAUGUGCAGCUAGUUGGGCUGUUGUUGCUCUCCCUUGUAAAUCUAACCUUUUUCGCCCAAUUGUUAAUCAAAUUUUUUUGGAACGUUGUGAUGUCACCCAAAAACAAGCGGAAGGCCAUUCGAGGCGUUAUGCCAUUAUCUGAAAUUGAACAUUCAGAAAAUGUGGUAAAUGUUUGCCAAUUGUUAAGAUUUAUUCAGAGUGGUACUAUAAAGUAUGACUGUAGGAAAGGGUACGUUAGGCUUCUAAAAGUGAAGAACAGUUCUGACAUCUUUGGUAAGCGGAAAAGGUACUGCAAAUGGAAGCGUCACAUGACGAUUUUAAGGAUGGACCCUUUCGUUUGCAUUGCCCAAUGAAUCUGUGCUUGGAACUGGCAGCUGGCGUUUAACAGCUUGGCACCUAAUCUUUGUUCUUAAAAGCCAGAGGUGUUCUUCACGUUUCAGGAGGAUACUUAUUGAUGAUUUUUUUAGAUUGAUGAUACUUAUUGGUUAAACCAUGAAGAAUACCAAUAGAUGGAUAAAAUGAGGGUUAUAAUAUAAAACAAAUUGCUCAUGGCAUUUUCAUUCACGCAUGCGCGACAAUUUGUGAGCAGACGAACUAUUGAAAGAGACUUGCGCAGUCUAACUGCAUCCAGCCAGAUACUAGUAAAACCCGAAACAUUGUUUUGACAAGUUCUGACAUAUUGUGGUUGCAGGUUUUCACUAAAUAACAAGCGGAAAAACUAGAUGGCAUUGAGCGUCAAUGAUAAAUAUUACGAUUGACAAGUUAAAGGGUCUACUCUGUUUAGUGUUUUAAACGAUUUUUCGUCAAAAAUUAAGUGGGUUUCACCUUGUCAGCUGGACUGUCAGCUGAACCAGUAGCCUGCAUUCCUGCUAUCAAUGUACCACAAGGGAUGCUGACACUUUAAGAAGACAAACAGUAACCACUAUGCCCGAGACAUGAACAUCGCCAUUCUAUUCAGAGUCUUUGUCUACUAUGUGUUGCAAACUAUCAGCCCUUAGCAUCCCAUGUUUCUAGAUUUUAAAGCUUCUCUGCUUAACCAAUCAUCAUCCAUACACUUCAGCUCUUCAUUGUGGCUUCUCUUCCUCUCUUCUUAGCCUGCUGAAUGCCAACAGGCAUUCAGGUUCGCCAUUGCCUUACCAUGAAAUAGAAAAUAUUGUUAAUCAUGCUGCCAAAUCUUCUUCGUACGAGUCAUGCAGUAAUAGAUUCCUUGUGGGAUUUCAUUGCAAAAUCCACCCAGGCUGAAAAGGGCAUCCUACCAGUUGUUUGGACUAUACCUGCCUCGCCGUCUUCGCCUCGCCUUCUUCGCCGUCUUCGCCUCGCCUUCCUCGCCGUCUUCGCCUCGCCUUCCUCGCCGUCUUCGCCUCGCCUUCCUCGCCGUCUUCGCCUCGCCUUCCUCGCCGUCUUCGCCUCGCCUUCCUCGCCUCAUCGUCUUCAAGCUGAUCAUCUUUAUCUCACUGUCAUCUCAUCGUCAUUGCCGCAUCGUCUUUGCUCGCACUCGGCUUCUCAUCACCGUCAUCGUGGAACCUCGCAUUUUUGGUAUUUUGUUUUGUUUUAUUGUUUUGUAUUGUUGUAUUGUGUAUGUUAAAAGUUAACCCGUUGGCUGCCACCCAUUUUGCUCCCCUUUUUUUUUUAGUUGUAGGGACCGGCGGCGCUGUUCUGCCCCAUGGUUGAUCACCCAUGGGGUGGGGCAGUCGCCUUGCGCCUUAGGGCGCCGUAGGCAAUGCACCAGUAGGGACUUCCCCUUGUCGAUGCGAUGGUGGAGUACCUGGGGUGUGCAUUCCCGUAAAGGUCUCCAUCGUCAAGUCAGCCCGGACUUGUCUUUGGACAAGUCCCCCUUUCAUCGUAUCCCUCUGAAACGAUGCGUAGCUACUGUAGAGAACAACCUAUGAGUUGUAAUGGCUUGGCAGCCAACGGGUUAACUUAAGUGUUUGUUUUUUAUGCAUGUAUGUACUGUAUUUAUUGUAUAACAUGUGAUGUAUGUAUUGAAUAACAUGUGAUGUAAAACUGUGGUGGAAUUGUGGGUGGAGGUGGGAUAAUACAAAACCAAUUCCAUUUA
rnacentral:sRNA from 1 species